GUAAGGCCCACAACACAUCGCUACGGGUUGACCCUGUGGCAUAAUCGGCACCAUUUGUGGUGGUGGUCCCGGCUGCUUCGGGGCUGGAGCCGGAGCUGGAGCUGGUGCUGGAGCUGGUUUAGGCUUCUCCGGUUCUUUAGGCUUCUCGGGUUCCUUGGGCUUUUCAACUUGUUUAGGCUUCUCGAGUUCUUUGGGCUUUUCAGCCUGUUUAGGCUUCUCGGGUUCCUUAGGCUUCUCAGGCUCUUUGGGCUUUUGCUGAGGUUGAGGAGCAUCUUUGGGCUUUUGCUGAGGUGGAGGUUGUGGCUGAGGCUGAGGUGGCUUGGGUGGCUCUAUGAUCUCGAUGGUCUUGAUUGAGCCACCGCCUUUGGAACAGAGUUUGUCCAUAAUCUUCUCAGGGCUGCAGCAAACCACCUUGAUGAUGACUACGUUGGACUUUUCAUCGAACAAUUGGUCUCUUAUU
rnacentral:lncRNA from 1 species